CCCUUAGAUGUUCUGGGCCGCACGCGCGCUACACUGACGAAUGCAACGAGCUUAUAACCUUGGCCGAAAGGUCUGGGUAAUCUCCAAAUUUCGUCGUGAUGGGGAUAGAUUAUUGCAAUUAUUAAUCUUCAACGAGGAAUGCCUAGUAAGUGCAAGUCAUAAGCUUGCGCUGACUACGUCCCUGCCCUUUGUACACACCGCCCGUCGCUACUACCGAUUGAAUGAUUUAGUGAGGACUUCGGACUGGGACCGAUGCGGCUUUCGGGCUGCGUCGGUAUUCUGGAAAGAUGUCCAAACUGUAUCAUUUAGAGGAAGUAAAAGUCGUAACA
rnacentral:rRNA from 1 species